rnacentral:rRNA from 1 species
UACGUAGGGUGCAAGCGUUGUCCGGAAUUAUUGGGCGUAAAGAGCGUGUAGGCGGCCCGACAAGUCCGCUGUGAAAGUCCAGGGCUCAACCCUGGAAAGCCGGUGGAUACUGUCGGGCUAGAGUCCGGAAGGGGCGAGUGGAAUUCCUGGUGUAGCGGUGAAAUGCGCAGAUAUCAGGAGGAACACCAAUGGCGAAGGCAGCUCGCUGGGACGUGACUGACGCUGAGACGCGAAAGCGUGGGGAGCGAACAGG